rnacentral:ribozyme from 1 species
AAACGUAUGAAGAAGAACAAGAAGGGUAAAAAAAAGGGCAAGAAGUAGGUCACAUUCUAAUAACCACAUCUUUCGCACGCGCGUUAUUUAUCAUUUUAAGUUAGGUUUUUAAUUCUC